AGAAGAGGAAAGUCGUAACAUGGUAAGUCUACCGGAAGGUGGUCUUGGAAUCAGAAUAUAGCUUAAUAAAAGCAUUUUGCUUACACCAAAAAAAUAUCGUCCAGAUUGUUCUGAUACUAUAAAUCUAGCCUAAUAGCAUAUUAUUUUUUUCUAUUCCACAAAUCAUUUAAGCAUAUUAGUAUGAGUGACAGAAAAUAUAUUAGCGCAAUAAGUAUAGUACUGCAAAGGAAAGAUGAAAUAGAAGUUAAAUAAAUAAUAAAAGUAUUAUAAAGCAAAGAUUAAUACUUAUACCUUUUGCAUAAUGGUCUAGCAAGUUUAAUUCAACAAAAAUAUUUAUGUUGAGACCCCCGAAACCAAACGAGCUACCUUAUGGCAAAUUUAAUGUCUAUCUCUGUGGCAAAAGAAAAAGAAAGACUCAUAGGUAGAGGCGAAAAACCAAACGAGUUUGGAGAUAGCUGGUUACUUGGGAAUGAAUUAAGUUCAACUAAAAGCAAAAUCACCAUUAAGGGUACAUAAUGCUUUUAAUAUAAUAAAUUAGGGUACAGCCUAUUUUAUAAAGGAAACAGCCUAUAAAAAUGGAUAAAGACAUAAAAUUACAACAAAGUAGGCCUAAAAGCAGCCAUCAUAGAUAGCGUCACAGCUUAAUUGUAAAAAUUAAAUUAUUUUAAUAAAUUAUCUAAAUCCAUUUAAACAACCAAGUUAAUCUAUUUAUAGAUAAACUACUACUAGAAUAAGUAAUAAGGAUAACCUCUUAAUACAUAUGUAAAUCAGAACGAACUAUCACUGAUAAUUAACGAAAACAUUUACUUUAACUAGAAUUUAAAUUUCUUAAGCCGUUUACCCAACACAGGUGUAUAAAAGAAAGACUCAAAGCUUAAGAAGGAACUCGGCAAACCCAGGCUUCGCCUGUUUACCAAAAACAUCGCCUUUUGACAAAUAAAUAUGAAAGGUCCUGCCUGCCCAGUGAUAAUUAUUCAACGGCCGCGGUAUUAUGACCGUGCAAAGGUAGCAUAAUCACUUGUCUUUUAAAUCAAGACCAGCAUGAACGGCAAAACGAAAGCCUAACUGUCUCCUUAAGUUAGUCAAUGAAAUUGAUCUUUUCGUGCAGAAGCGAGAAUAUAAAUAUAAGACGAGAAGACCCUGUGGAGCUUUAAAAUAAUAUUAUAUAAAUAUCUUAUAAUAAUAUAAAUUUUUAGGUUGGGGCGACCAUGAGGUAAAGUAAAACCCUCAAGAAAAUAAUUAGAAGGACACUUCAAACUAAAUAUAAUAUUUAUAUAUGACCCAAUAAUGAUCAACGAACCAAGUUACCCCAGGGAUAACAGCGCAAUCCAUUCCCAAAGUUCAUAUCGACGGAUGGGUUUACGACCUCGAUGUUGGAUCAGGACAUCCUAAUGGUGCAACAACUAUUAAAGGUUCGUUGUCAACGAUAAA
rnacentral:rRNA from 1 species